GUACAUAUAUGUGAAGGCAUACACAUGCCACAGUCUGUAUGAGGAGGUCAGAGGACAAACUGUGCAAAGCUGUUCUCUCUUCUGCUGUGUGGGUCGUAGGGAUCAACCCCAGCUCACCUGGGCUGCAUGCCGUACUGACCCACGUCCUUCUAACAGUGCCAUACUGACCCAAGUCCUUCUCAACAGCGCCGUACUGACCCACAUCCUUCUCAUCAGCACCGUACUGACCCACGUCCUUCUCAACAGCACCGUACUGACCCACGUCCUUCUCAACAGUGCCAUACUGACCCACGUCCUUCUCCUAAACUGUGCUGUACUGACCCACAUCCUUCUCAACAACGGCAAACUGACCCACAUCCUUCUCAACAGUGCCGUACUGACCCACAUCCUCAGCAGUGCUGUACUGAGCCACAUCCUUAUCCUAACAGUGCUGUACUGAGCUACGUCCUUCUCAACAGUGCCGUACUGAGUCAUAAUGAUAAAGUCUCCCGACCCUGGCAAAAUCUUAAGACUUCCAAAUCUUCAGACUUCCCAGGUAGGAUCAAUGGUUUCCAUGAAUAAAGAUAAUAAUUGUCAUAAAAUUCUAAGAUUAAAGAUAAC
rnacentral:lncRNA from 1 species